rnacentral:rRNA from 1 species
AGUGAACGCUGGCGGUAGGCCUAACACAUGCAAGUCGAACGGCAGCACAGUAAGAGCUUGCUCUUACGGGUGGCGAGUGGCGGACGGGUGAGGAAUACAUCGGAAUCUACUUUUUCGUGGGGGAUAACGUAGGGAAACUUACGCUAAUACCGCAUACGACCUACGGGUGAAAGCAGGGGAUCUUCGGACCUUGCGCGAUUGAAUGAGCCGAUGUCGGAUUAGCUAGUUGGCGGGGUAAAGGCCCACCAAGGCGACGAUCCGUAGCUGGUCUGAGAGGAUGGUCGGCCACACUGGAACUGAGACACGGUCCAUACUCCUACGGGAGGCAGCAGUGGGGAAUAUUGGACAAUGGGCGCAAGCCUUAUCCAGCCAUACCGCGUGGGUGAAGAAGGCCUUCGGGUUGUAAAGCCCUUUUGUUGGGAAAGAAAAGCAGCAGGUUAAUACCCCGCUGUUCUGACGGUACCCAAAGAAUAAGCACCGGCUAACUUCGUG